GCCCUGCCCACAGCCACUGCCGAGAAAGAAGACAAACAUGCCGAAAAUCACUUGGUGCCCGUGAUAUGCUGUCUCCAACAGCCGAUUCCGAGGGAGAAUCCUGGAGAAAGGAUCAGGCAGAGGGAAAGCGGCAGCGAGACAGAUGCGGUUGGGACGGAUGGGGACAUGUGGUGCCGCAGGCUGCUGCUGCCCGCGGAGCUGCUGCCGCCGGUCGGUUGUUCGGUGAAAGCCCGGCAACAGCGGCCCCGGGAAAGGCGGCUGCUCAGCCGCGGGGCCUCAACGGGUGCACGCGUGAGAGCCCCACGGGAGCAAAACCUGCUUGCAGCGCUCGUGGGUGUUGGGGAGAGCAGGCAGGGACCGUCCCUGGCACGGGCAUCUUGCUCACAGGGAUCUACAGCUCCCCUGGAAAUAUCAAAAGGGGAAAGGACGAGAGCAGAGCAAAAGGAAAUGGCAGGAGUCUUGUAAAUGUGAUUGUAUUUGUAUAUCUACAGAAAUGCUAAUUUUUUAAACGUCUGUUUGGAAAUACAGUAAAUACUGCUGUU